rnacentral:hammerhead_ribozyme from 1 species
ACCCAGCUGACGAGUCCCAAAUAGGACGAAAAGCGCGUAAUGGAU